rnacentral:rRNA from 1 species
UACGUAGGGGGCAAGCGUUGUCCGGAUUCAUUGGGCGUAAAGAGCUCGUAGGCGGUCUGUCGCGUCGGCUGUGAAAACCCGAGGCUCAACCUCGGGCCUGCAGUCGAUACGGGCAAACUAGAGUACUGCAGGGGAGACUGGAAUUCCUGGUGUAGCGGUGAAAUGCGCAGAUAUCAGGAGGAACACCGGUGGCGAAGGCGGGUCUCUGGGCAGUAACUGACGCUGAGGAGCGAAAGCGUGGGGAGCGAACAGG